UAAGACGAACCGUCCAAACGUUAUUCGGUAUCACUGGGCUUAAAGCGUUCGUAGGCGGCCUGGUAGGUGAGGUGUGAAAGCCCACGGCUCAACCGUGGAACAGCGCUUCAAACCACCAGGCUUGAGGAUGGCAGGGGUAAUGGGAACUGAUGGUGGAGCGGUGAAAUGCGUUGAUAUCAUCAGGAACACCGGUGGCGAAAGCGCAUUACUGGGCCAUUUCUGACGCUGAGGAACGAAAGCUAGGGUAGCGAACGGGAUUAGAUACCCCGGUAGUCCUAGCCGUAAACGAUGAGCACUGGGUUGAGGGGACUUCCACAUCUUCUCGGCCGUAGCGAAAGCGUUAAGUGCUCCGCCUGGGGAGUAUGGCCGCAAGGCUG
rnacentral:rRNA from 1 species